ensembl:lncRNA
GGUUAGCUCUUGUCCAUCCAGCCGGAUAGUCCGGAUUGGCUUCGGUUUCAUCCAAUGAGUCGGAAGAGCGCGAAGACACAUGACGUAAAUGUCAUAUCAAAAAUAUGGCAGUGCAGAACGAAAUAUUUAUUAACUAAGGUUAAACAACAUAUAGAUAGCUAAAGACGGCUACUACAAUUGGCUAGUAGCAUUUAGGUUUACUUUUCACAAUAACAAUAUGUCACUAAAUCUGAGCUCCGUUUCACAAAAAAGGACUCUCGAAAGCAUCCUUGCUGGUCGUGUGACAAAGAGGCCAAAGGUGGAGGAUACCAAGGAGCUCCAAGAGGCAGCAAUCCAACUGUUGUACCGACACCAGAACAUCUCAGGCCUGCUCUCGGAAGUCGUGAUUCAACGGCCUUCCGCAGACAUGUGUGUGGAAAAAGCGCAGCAGAAACAGACUGUCUCAGAGUUUCUUCCCUCAGCUCUUACUGGAUCACUUCUAUUGCCUGUGUUGAAGCGGCAGGCAGACAAGCUUGGCGUGUCGGUGGUCGCUCUUUCUGUCAGGACUGUCCUGAAGAGACUGAGAAUGACUUGUAAUGAUGACGAUGAUUAUGAAGCUAAAGAGGGCAAUGGGGUCAAGAGAGUUCUGCUCACCUCUUGUCAGCGAGUUCAGCUGUGUUCGCUGCUGCUCUCAGCCAGAGAGCUGCUAUCUCUCGGAGCAUUCUGCCCCAAGCUCUUUUGGCAGGAGUACACAAAGCAUCAGGUGUGUUAAUAAGCGUCAGUAUGUUCUUGUGUAUGUAAAAAUUUUGGGUAUG